rnacentral:lncRNA from 1 species
AGAGCAUGGAGCACACCUUCCUGGUUCACCUGAGCUGGAUUCGGAGAGGUAAAAUGGCCAUUACCUCGUCUAAGCUGCCACUUACAGACACAGUACAGGAUGAGGCCCAGACCCACAGAGACAACGAUGAUGGCCACAGCUAAGAUGAUCCAGAAAUUAUUCCUCCACCAGCUCAUUGCAGUGGAAUCCUGAGAAGAAUGGAGAGAGAAGAAUGAGCUUCUUGCAUGACUGCCUGAAAUCCGCCUCCUGUCAGAUCAGCAGGGGCAUUGGAUUAUGAUAGGAGUGAGAACACCAUUGUGGACUGCGCAUGCCAGGGAUCUAGGUUCCGCGCUCCUUAUGAGAAUCUGAUGCCUGAUGAUCUGUCACUGUCUCCCAUCACCCCCAGAUGGGACUGUCUAGUUGAAGAAAAACAAGUUCAGGGCUCCCACUGAUGCUACGUUACGGUGAGUUGUAUAAUUAUUUCAUUAUAAUUACAAUGUAAUGAUAAUAGAAAUAAAGGGCACAAUAAAUAUAAUGAGCUUGAAUGAUCCUGAAACCAUACUCUGCUGCUCCAUGGAAAAAUUGUCUUCCAUGAAAUCAGUCCCUGGUGCCACAAAACUAGUCCCCGAUGCUGCCCUAGAGUUUA